rfam:Synergistes sp. 3_1_syn1 genomic scaffold supercont1.5, whole genome shotgun sequence.
UAAAUUAUGGUUCUCCGAGCCUGUACGCCUACGGAAAAGAUCUAUGGCUUUCAGGCCGACAGGGUUGCCUGGGAAACGAGGCAGCCUCCCUUUGGAAAGGAGAACGGCUGAUGAAUCU